rnacentral:rRNA from 1 species
CAGCCGCCGCGGGAAUACGUAGGUCCCGAGCGUUGUCCGGAUUUAUUGGGCGUAAAGUGAGCGCAGGCGGUUAGAUAAGUCUGAAGUUAAAGGCUGUGGCUUAACCAUAGUACGCUUUGGAAACUGUUUAACUUGAGUGCAAGAGGGGAGAGUGGAAUUCCAUGUGUAGCGGUGAAAUGCGUAGAUAUAUGGAGGAACACCGGUGGCGAAAGCGGCUCUCUGGCUUGUAACUGACGCUGAGGCUCGAAAGCGUGGGGAGCAAACAGGAUUAGAUACCCCGGUAGUCCCUGUCUCUUAUACA